rnacentral:rRNA from 1 species
UGGUGCCCAUAGCACAGUGGAACCACACCGAUCCAUCUCGAACUCGGUUGUUAAACACUGUAGCGGCAAUAAUACUUAAGGGGAAGCCCUUUGGAAAAGUAGCACAGUGCCAAAGC